rnacentral:rRNA from 1 species
CACGUAGGGUCCAAGCGUUGUCCGGAUUUAUUGGGCGUAAAGAGCUCGUAGGCGGCUUGGUAAGUCGAGUGUGAAAACUCGAGGCUCAACCUCGAGACGUCGGUUGAAACCGUAUGGCUAGAGUCCGGAAGAGGAGAGUGGAAUUCCCGGUGUAGCGGUGAAAUGCGCAGAUAUCGGGAAGAACACCCGUGGCGAAGGCGGCUCUCUGGGACGGUACUGACGCUGAGACGCGAAAGCGUGGGGAGCGAACAGG